UACAGGCUGCGUUGUACGUAAUGAUAAUAAAGUUUUAACCUUUAAGCUGUAAAAGGGAGUUUUACUAUCGAAACUGGAAUGACAAGCCUCUGUCUAUAAGACGUGGAGGACAUGCAGAAAGGUUUCUGCGAACACCCACUUUGAGGAGUGGUGGUUUAAAACUUUCUUAUAUGUAUACGGCAAAUGCGGCUUCUUA
rnacentral:other from 1 species